AGAAAAGUAAGCUAAUUAAAGCUAAUGGGUUCAUACCCCAUAUAUAGAGUAAUACUCUCUUCUCUA
rnacentral:tRNA from 1 species